GGGAGAGAGAGAGAGAGAAAUAAUCAAUAGAGCACAGUAUAAAAAGGAAGGAAAAGGAUUAGGUCAACAGAGAGACUCAGUCUUGUAAAUGAGGAGGUGAACCUGUGCCUCCAAAAUAACAAAUAAGGAGUCACAGAAGUGUUGAAGUAAAACAAAGUGGAGUUCUGCUGGAUGACCCCAACAUUUUCAGUGAAACAAGAGGCAAAGCCAUCUGCUACCAGUGAGCAGGGAGGUUCUAAGGGCUUCAGUGUAGGAAGGAUUGGAAAGAUGGAAAAUGAAUUGAGAGUUUGUGACAGAUAAGUGAGAGAAAAGAGCCCCAGGGGCUCAGAUAAUAUAGGAUGUUAGGUGCAGGACAGGCUGAACUAAGUUGUCUGCAGGGCAGGCUGUUAGCUGCAGGAUAACCCACGCACCCCAACCCCCCUCUGUCUGGUCCUUUAUCACCUGUUUGUGUCAAGUCUGAACACUCAACCCCACUCAAGGCUGAACACUUGACCCCUACCGGUCUGGUACAACAGAAACCCACAUCUGACCCCUGCCCCAUCUACCUGAAGGCAGAAGAUGACACCUUUAGCAACUAUUGUGUGAUCCAAUCACUGUAUGCCAACAAGGCAGCUUGCAGACCCAGAGACCCCAUUAGAUUUGGGCUAUAAAAACUCCCUCCUGAGCUGGGAUUGUGGCUCAGCGUUAGAACGCUCCCCUAGCACAGGCGGGACCCGGUUCGAUCUUCAGCACCACAUAAAAAUAAAGGCAUUAUGUUGUGUCCAUCUACACCUAAAAAAUAAAUAUUAAAAAAAAAUACUCAUUAAAAUAAAAAAAAAAAAACUCCCUCCUGCCGGGACCCUCGCUCUUGCUCUGUCUCCCUCUCUUGCUUUUGCUCUCUCUUUCUUCUCUCUGUCUCUGUCUCUGUCUCUCUCUCCUCUUUUGCACUGCUGCAAUAAAGAUCUCUCGGUUGCCCCAAGUGUUG
rnacentral:lncRNA from 1 species